CUUCACUGAACAUGGGGGUUUCGGCUCUGCUCUCCGGUCUCCUGCUGCUCUGGUGCCCAGGCACCAGUGGGAAUGUGGUGCUAACUCAGACUCCAGCUUCCCUGAAUGUGACUCUGGGUGAGAGGGCCUCCAUAAUCUGCAGGGCCAGUGAGUACGUCAGUGAUUAUUUAACCUGGUACCAGAAGAAGCCAGGCCAGAUUCCUAGGAUUCUCAUCUACGAUGCUGAUGACCAAUUUCCCGGGGUCUCGGACCGCUUCACUGGCACACAGGAUGACACAAAAUUCAUUUUCGAAAUCAAGAAGGUAGAACAUGGAGAUGCUGGCACUUACUACUGCCAGCAGAGCUACACUGCGCCUCUCACAGUGUUACAGCCCGGUACAUAAACCACCCUCCCAGGCUGGUUGUGUAGGGAGGCUCUGUGGUUUUAGCAGCUGCCGUGUCCCCAGGGCUACAUUCACAACUGCAGCCUCCACGGUAGGGGUGGGGAGGGUGCGGCAGGGUUCAGUGGUAAGGGUGUGAUGGAGUCUGGUCUUUUAGAAUUUGUUCUCUUGGCAACACAGCCUCCCCAAACCUUCAGUGAAAUCUAAAAAUGAGAACUCUACAUCAGGCCUGCAAAAAAAUCCCUCUGAAACCUGAUCCUUGAGUCUUUUUUUCUAAGACCCAUUCUGGAAAGUGUUUUACGGCAGAGAACUGAUACCCUACCAGAGGCCAUCUCCAAGGAAGUAUGGGGGAUCUUUCUAGUGCUACAACUCUAGUA